AAUCAACGCUGGCGGCGUGCCUAACACAUGCAAGUCGAGCGAGAAAGGGGCUUCGGCCCUGAGUAAAGCGGCGCACGGGUGAGUAACACGUGGGUAAUCUGCCCUAGAGUGGGGAAUAACACCGGGAAACCGGUGCUAAUACCGCAUACGAUCACGAUGUUUUCGAAUGUUGUGAUGAAAGGAGCAAUUCGCUCUUGGAGGAGCCCGCGGCUGAUUAGCUAGUUGGGAGU
rnacentral:rRNA from 1 species